UACGAAGGGGCUAGCGUUGUUCGGAAUCACUGGGCGUAAAGCGCACGUAGGCGGAUCUUUAAGUCAGGGGUGAAAUCCCGGAGCUCAACUCCGGAACUGCCUUUGAUACUGGGGAUCUUGAGUUCGAGAGAGGUGAGUGGAACUGCGAGUGUAGAGGUGAAAUUCGUAGAUAUUCGCAAGAACGCCAGUGGCGAAGGCGGCUCACUGGCUCGAUACUGACGCUGAGGUGCGAAAGCGUGGGGAGCAAACAGG
rnacentral:rRNA from 1 species